UCUGUGUGCGCACAGCUGGAUGUGCGCAGGAGCGGGUGUGGACAGGCUGGGUGUGCAAGGCUGUGUGCGCAUAGGACAGGCGUGUGCAGGGCUGGGGGGGCAUGAGGGGUGUCUUGUGGGGCUGUGUGUGUGCAAGGAGCAGCAGGCGCCGUGUCCAUGUGAAGGGGGGGCUGCGUGCCCUGUGUCCGUGUGUGUCCCCAUAUCUGUGAGGGACUUUGUGCCCCAUGUCAGUGUGCGUAUCUUAGAGGGGCUGUGUGCCCCGUGUCCGUAUCUGUGAGGGGCUGCGUGCCCCGUGUCCGUAUCUGUGAGGGGC